AACGGACAUUUCAUUUUAGCAAUAAAAAGAAAUGUUAGUGGCAAACGGGUUAGUAACGCGUAGAUAACUUACCCUGAAGUCUUGAACAACUCCGCGAAAGCGGAGCUAAUACAAGAUGGUAACGAGGGGACAUAUGUCAUUCUCGUUUAAGGCUCCGGCCGCUUCAGGAGAGGUCUGCGUCCUAUCAGCUAGUUGGCGGGGUAAAUGCCCACCAAGGCUAUGACGGGUAGGGGGACUGAGAGGUCGGCCCCCAACAUCGGAACUGAGACACUGUCCGGACUCCUACGGGAGGCUGCAGUCAAGAACCUUUCUCAAUGCACGAAAGUGUGAAGAAGCGACGCCGCGUGUGUGAAGAAGUCCUUCGGGAUGUAAAACACUUUUAUAGGGGAACAAUUUUUGAGCGUACCCUAAGAAUAAGGGGCUCCUAAACUCGUGCCAGCAGGAGCGGUAAUACGAGUGCCCCAAGCGUUAUCCGGAAUUACUGGGCGUAAAGGGUCCGUAGGAGGUCUAAUUAGUCUUGCGUUAAAUUUCGGGGCUCAACCCCGAAGCCGCGUAGGAAACGGUUAGACUAGAGAGCAUGAGAGGCUGAUGGAACUCACGGUGUAGGGGUGAAAUCCGUUGAUAUCGUGGGGAACACCAAAGGCGAAGGCAUUCAGCUGGCGUGACUCUGACUCUGAGGGACGAAAGCGUGGGGAUCAAAAAGGAUUAGAUACCCUUGUAGUCCACGCCCUAAACGAUGAUGACUGGCUUUUUGAAGUAUCGACCCUUCAAGAGGCGAAGCUAACGCGUUAAGUCAUCCGCCUGGGAAGUACGAUCGCAAGAUUAAAACUCAAAGGAAUAGACGGGAACUCGCACAAGCGGUGGAGCAUGUGGUUCAAUUCGACAAUAAGCGGGGAACCUUACCAGGGUUAGAAAUUCCAAUGAAGCUAAGCAGAAACGUUUAGCGUCUCACAAGGACAUUGGAAUCAGGUGCUGCACCGUUGUCGUCAGCUCGUGG
rnacentral:rRNA from 1 species